rnacentral:lncRNA from 1 species
UUGGGUACAGUGGCUUAGAAAAUCAAGGAGCAACCAGCUACCUGAACUCAGCUUUGCAGGUCCUCUUUAUGACCAAAGAAUUCAGAGAGGCAGUAGAAAGGUAACAGGAUAGUGACACUUGUUCAUGGCUGAGUGUUCAAAAUUGCAAGGACUGUUGUUGACAUGUUGGUCUUAUCACUCUGUAGGUUGCAGAUUACACCAAAUGAUGAUGAGGUACUUUACCAACUGCAACAACUAUUUGAAAAUCUAAAAGCUGAUUACAAAUGUGUUUCUACUCUCAAAAUAACCGAAAGUCUCUCAAUUGAAAAUGGUGAGUGAAACUCAAGCUUCCCUAAAUUCAUUACUGAAACAUGCUGGUCUCUGAAUUACUGCAUUUGUUCAGUCAACUGUAUUUUGUUAGUUUUUGAACAUCAAGAUGCAGUGGAGUGGUUUGAGAAAAUCCUGAGUGUAGUGUCACCUGAUGCAUCACAGGUCUAUGAAGGAACCUUACUAAAAACACUGAGGUGUCUGAAGAAAGAUCAUGAUGAAUCUCACGAAGACAGCACAUUUUUAUCACUUCCAAUCACCAUUGAUGCUGGACAUGAUGAAGUAUUCCGUGUGGUUGACGGUCUUGAAGCCUUUUUUCAAACCACAAAGUUUGUUUGACGACAACUGGCUGUACUGCGAUGACUGUGAUGAGAAAACAUACAUGGAAAUUAGUUUUAACAUCCAGAAGUAUCCCACAAUACUGACUCUGCACCUCAAGCGGUUUUACUUUGACGACAUGAAAAUGGGAUAUCGGAAGAACUGCUGCCCUAUGGACAUACCCUCCACACUUACAUACUUUGAGAGUUGCACAUAUGAUCUGUAUGGUGUCAUCAACCAUAGUGGGGUGUAUGGAAGUGGACACUACUAUGCCUACAUUCAGUCUCCUGAGAAUAAUGACUGGUUUUGCUUUAAUGAUUCUCACGUGGGUAAAGGUAUGCAUCACUUUCUUUUUCUAUUCAUGGAUGGACUGUAGGAUAACUAAUGUGUAUGUUACAGUUGUGAGGGAGUGUGUGUGACCAUUUGGUACAGGCGUAAAUUAAAGCAUAGACGUUUCUUUUCUAAGAAUGAGAGAAGCAGUUAAACUGAUUAUUGUUUUUUCUCUACAGAUCACAGACAAAGACUUCCUGGAAAGGUAGUACAAUUAUACAGAGAAACAUUAUGAAGUUAUUUCAGUGCAUUAGGCAGUAGUUCUCAAUAAAUGUUCUGUUUAUUCAUUGUCUGUAAAGUUG